rnacentral:rRNA from 1 species
AUUGAACGCUGGCGGCAGGCCUAACACAUGCAAGUCCGGCGAGCGGCGGACUGGUGAGUAAUGUAUGGGGACCUGCCUGAUGGAGGGGGAUAACUACUGGACCCGGUAGCGAAUACCGCAUACCAUCAGAUGUAUCUAUACGGGAUUAGCUAGUAGGUUAGGUAACGGCUCACCUAUGCGACGAUCCCUAGCUGGUCUGAGAGGAUGAUCGGCCACACUGGGACUGAGACACGGCCCAGACUCCUACGGGAGGCAGCAGUGGGGCAUAUUGCACAAUGGGCGCAAGCCUGAUGCAGCCAUGCCGCGUGUAUGAAGAAGGCCUUCGGGUUGUAAAGUACUUUCAGUCGGGAGGCGUUACCGACAGAAGAAGCACCGGCUAACUCCGUGCCAGCAGCCGCGGUAAUAC